rnacentral:ncRNA from 1 species
UCGCAAGGCUCAAUUGGGCUCGCUCACGAGUAAUUGUGAACGGAACACCUGUCAAAUUCGGUGAAACCUCUCUCGCGGUGCGACGUGGCAAUACCGAGCCAAGUCCAGCCCCAGUUUUGGAAAAUGAAUUUCGUUUCUCAAAACUGGAGCUGGGAAGGUGUAGAGACUAGAUGGCAGGCCCCUGGUGAGAUGUAAAAUUUCCCAGGGUGAAGGUAUAGUCCAGACUACAAACUCACUCGCCA